rnacentral:rRNA from 1 species
AGUGAACGCUGGCGGUAGGCCUAACACAUGCAAGUCGAACGGCAGCACAGUAAGAGCUUGCUCUUACGGGUGGCGAGUGGCGGACGGGUGAGGAAUACAUCGGAAUCUACUUUUUCGUGGGGGAUAACGUAGGGAAACUUACGCUAAUACCGCAUACGACCUACGGGUUAAAGCAGGGGAUCUUCGGACCUUGCGCGAUUGAAUGCGCCGAUGUCGGAUUAGCUGGUUGGCGGGGUAAAGGCCCACCAAGGCGACGAUCCGUAGAUGGUCUGAGAGGAUGAUAAGCCACACUGGAACUGAGACACGGUCCAGACUCCUACGGGAGGCAGCAGUGGGGAAUAUUGGACAAAGGGCGGAAGCCUGAUCCAGCCAUACCGCGUGGGUGAAGAAGGCCUUCGGGUUGUAAAGCCCUUUUGUUGGGAAAGAAAAGCAGCAGGUUAAUACCCAGCUGUUCUGACGGUACCCAAAGAAUAAGCACCGGCUAACUUCGUG